rnacentral:sRNA from 1 species
GUUGGGUGCAGUGGCACACACCUGUAAUCCCAGUGGCUCAGGAGGCUGAGACAGGAGGAUCACAAGUUUAAAGCCAGCCUUAGCAAUUCGAGGCACUUAGCACUCAGUGAGACCCUGUCUCUA